CUCCGUCUCAACACUUGGGACAGAUGAUGUCCCAAGAUGUCCCAAUUGAAAUACUAAAUCGCUAACGAAACGAUCUUGUCUCAACAUAUAAGAUAGUACUCCGUCUUGAUAUCUCGCGGGAUGUCCUACGAAAACAUGAAUCCUCGUUGUACACUGAGUCCGAUCCUUAAACUUCUUUGCUACCCAUUUUGAUGGCACCCUUCGGUCAAUGCUAUGCACCAAAACAAGGAUGUUCUCCCACUGCUUCUACGCCACCGCCAUGUCCUUCUUGAGAACUCGAGGACCUUCGUGAAGUACCACCGAAGUUCCCCCAACUCCACUAGUGAGAUCUUGCACUCCAUCUAUCGAGACUAGCGUGGCAGCCUCUGCAUUGCUUGAGCCCAUGUCCUU
rnacentral:lncRNA from 1 species